UACGGAGGGAGCUAGCGUUGUUCGGAUAUACUGGGCGUAAAGCGCACGUAGGCGGCGCCGUAAGUCAGGGGUGAAAUCCCGGAGCUCAAUUCCGGAACUGCCCUUGAAACUGCAGUGCUAGAAUCUUGGAGAGGCGAGUGGAAUUCCGAGUGUAGAGGUGAAAUUCGUAGAUAUUCGGAAGAACACCAGUGGCGAAGGCGACUCGCUGGACAAGUAUUGACGCUGAGGUGCGAAAGCGUGGGGAGCAAACAGG
rnacentral:rRNA from 1 species